AUGUCCCACUCUUUGAGGUGCUCGGCCUCUAGGCCUCCACUCCUGAGGCCCCAGCAGGGGCGGGCUCAGGAGGGCUGCCAUCACACCCCUCACUCCCUCUCCGUCUCAUCACCAAAGGAGGACACGGGUCAGGCCCAGGGAUUCAGGGAGCAGCAGGUGGUGAUGGGUCCAACCAGAACCGCAAGGAACCUGCUCCAGAACCGAAUCCGCUCCCCAGGGCCCAGAGCUAAGCAUCUGGGUCAGUCUAAUGAGGCUUCAAGAGCCAGUACACCUGGGCUGCCCUGUGCCACCGUGUCAGGCUUCUCCGGUGGCCCAGAAGCAUCCCCGGUCAGGACUCCUCUGAAGUUCCCUCAGCAAAGCAGCCGUCUUCCUUCCUGUUUGACCUAUUUCGGGAAAAAGUGGACUCAAGGUCCCCUAGGCUCAGGUGGACCGAUGAUGAACUGGCCUCGGCCACAGCACAAAACCGCUAAUCAGAACCAGCUGACCCUCUGCCAGGUCCCCUGGGUCACGGCCUUCAUGGCCAGUGCAGCGGGCAGGGGACCCAAAGCUGGACUCCACGAUAUUGGAAUCACCGGAGCAGAGAUUAGGCCACUGUCCUCCAGGACAUAUGACAAGCAUCACCACGAACCUCAUCUGAGCUGGGCCAGACAGACCGGAAUCAACUUCACUGACAAGCUACUCAAAACCUUAAGCAGGGGCCCCUCCUCUUCUUCCUCAUACGGACCAGGCACUUUCGCCCAUCUUCUUCCUCACCUCCUGCGGACAAGAUCCAGGAAGAAACCCUUUCCCCCUCCCAGCCCUGGUGGCUCCUGUCUCAAGACCCAUGUGGUCCAGCAAGAGACGCCUCCUUCAGGGCCCCGAGGACGGGCUGGCAUCCAAGCCUUGUACAUGGUGACCCGGGUCCCGGCAUGCCAUGAGAGGGUGCCCCACGGGGAAACACGGGCUCCUGUCCCGCUCUGGGUGACGGUGGGUGACUCAGGGGCUGGAUGGGCGGCUCCACACCCCGGCUUCAUGGUUCCCACUCCCAGGUUCCUUCCACGGUCCUCGCUCCCUCUAAUGCAGGUCCAGCCUCCACCUUCGACCCCACCGUUAACCCAAAGCCUCCAACACAAAGCGGGGAAGCUGGGCGGGCAGGACGGGGCUGUCAAGCCCAGCCGGCAUACUCACUUUGCCGCCUUUGCCCUGCGGGGCCGUCCACAGCUCUGCCCGCUUAAAGAGCAUGGGGCAGCGCCUGGGCCACAAGCGAGUCAGCUACCGGGCUGCCAACACCGCCCCCGGGGAGGGCGAGAAGGAGACGGGAAACGGAGAGGGUGA
rnacentral:lncRNA from 1 species